rnacentral:piRNA from 1 species
UAAGUUUGAACUCAAGUUAACCAUCAGGCU